GUGCCAGCAGCCGCGGUAAUACGGAGGGUGCGAGCGUUAAUCGGAAUUACUGGGCGUAAAGCGCAUGCAGGUGGUUCAUUAAGUCAGAUGUGAAAGCCCGGGGCUCAACCUCGGAACUGCAUUUGAAACUGGUGAACUAGAGUACUGUAGAGGGGGGUAGAAUUUCAGUGUAGCGGUGAAAUGGGUAAGAUCUGAAGGAAUACCAUGGCGAAGCGGCCCCUGGACAGAUCUGCACUCAGAUGCGAAAGCGUGGGGAGCAAACAGGAUUAGAUACCCUGGUAGUCC
rnacentral:rRNA from 1 species